rnacentral:rRNA from 1 species
UGCGUAGGCGGAAUCGCCAGUGUCUUGUGAAAUCCCACGGCUCAACCGUGGAACUGCAGGGCAUACUGCGAUUCUUGAGGUCGGUAGAGGUUGCCGGAACUGUAGGUGUAGCGGUGAAAUGCGUAGAUAUCUACAGGAACGCCCAAGGAGAAGUCAGGCAACUGGGCCGAUUCUGACGCUGAGGCACGAAAGCGUGGGGAGCAAACAGGAUUAGAUACCCUGGUAGUC